rnacentral:rRNA from 1 species
GACGAACGCUGGCGGCGUGCUUAACACAUGCAAGUCGAACGGAACGGCCCCUUCGGGGGUACUCGAGUGGCGUACGGGUUAGUAACACGUCAUUAACCUGCCCUUUACUUCGGGAUACCUUCAGGAAACUGGUGCUAAUCCCGGGUAGGAAUCAUUUCUGCAUGGUGGGUGUUGGAAAGCUUCGGCGGUUUUGGAUGGACUCGCGGCUCAUCAGCUUGUUGGUGGGGUAGGGGCUUACCAAGGCUGUGCCGGGAAGCCGGCCUGAGAGGGCGACCGGGCACAGUGGGACUGGGAUACGGCCCAGACUCCUACGGGAGGCAGCAGUGGGGGAGAUUGCACAAUGGGCGGGAGCCUGAUGCAGCAACGCCGCGGGCGGGAUGACGACGUUCGGGUUGGAGACCGCUAUCAGCAGGGGAGGAGCUUGUGGUGACGGUAGCUGCAGAAGAAGCACCGGCUAACUACGUG